CGGGGCAACAUGAAGAAACCCCAUCUCUACCAAAAAAAAAAAUUUUUUUUAAUUAACCAGGCGUGAUGGUGUGCGUGUGUGGUCUCAGCUACUCAGAAGGCUGAUGUGGGAGGAUUGUUUGAGCCCAGGAGGUUGAGGCUGCAGUGAGCCGUGAUCUCACCACUGCACCCCAGUCUGGGCAACAGAGUGAGACCCUGUCUCAAAAAAAAAAAAAAAGAAAGAAAGGAAAAGAAAAAAGAACCAUAGAAAGACAGAUUUUUGUUUUUCAAAACUAAAUUAAUUGAUUGCCCCUCAGCAAAUGAUACCUCAUCAAAAGCUACUUCUUGUUGUUGCCCGAUACUUUUAUAAAACAGCUUCAAUGAGGUAUACUUACCAUGCAAUGAACUGCACAACUUUAAAAUGUUCCAUUUGGUCAGUUUUGACCUAUGCAUAUACCUGUUAAACAAUUAUCACAAUCAUAAUAAACAUAUCCAACAUUCUUAAAAGCUUCUUCUCGUCUUUUUGCAAUCUUUCCCUCUCAUUCCUCCCCUAAAAACAGUAGUACUGAUCACAUUGGGUUGUUGUGAGAAUUUAAAUAAGAUUCAAGCAUAGAGAGAGCCAUGUUAUAUACACACUUUGUUUUCUGUCUUUAGGUGGGGGAAGCCAUUGUCUAGUGAAAAAGACCUGAAUUCCGUGCCCAGAUCAC
rnacentral:lncRNA from 1 species